GGUGAAGUGACUAGACUACAGGAUUGAUGAUGAACAGUACCAGCAGUGGUAUGGGUGGAGGUGAAGUGACUAGACUACAGGAUUGAUGAUGGA